CCUACGUGAGGCAGCAGUGGGGAAUAUUGCACAAUGGGGGGAACCCUGAUGCAGCGACGCCGCGUGAGUGAAGAAGUAUUUCGGUAUGUAAAGCUCUAUCAGCAGGAACGAGACAAGACGGUACCUGACUAAGAAGCCCCGGCUAACUACGUGCCAGCAGCCGCGGUAAUACGUAGGGGGCAAGCGUUAUCCGGAAUCACUGGGUGGAAAGGGAGCGUAGACGGCUGAGCAAGCCUGAAGUGAAAGGCGGGGGCCCAACCCCCGGACUGCUUUGGGAACUGUACGGCUGGAGUGCAGGAGAGGUAAGUGGAAUUCCUAGUGUAGCGGUGAAAUGCGUAGAUAUUAGGAGGAACACCAGUGGCGAAGGCGGCUUACUGGACUGUAACUGACGUUGAGGCUCGAAAGCGUGGGGAGCAAACAGGAUUAGAUACCCGAGUAGUC
rnacentral:rRNA from 1 species